ACUAGAUUUUCAUCCGUGCGAUGCACGGCUAAUAUAAUAAUAUAGAAUAAUAAAACUUAUUAUGUGAUGAUAACAAAAAGAUUUUUUAAUUAAUUUUAUAUUUUUUAACAAAUAAAAAAAUAUAUUAUCAAUCUUAAUUAUAGUACAUAUUAAAGUACACAAGUUAGAGAAAAAAAAUUUUGGACCAAAGUAAAUAUUAACUAAAAUGCAAAAUUCAAUCCUGCUCUAUUAUCUAUGAAUUGGUGUGCAAAAUAAUUUACAUUUAUAUAUUGAUGUGCGAAAUAAAAUGAUAACUAAAAUUGAUAUGAAAAAUUACAAAUGACAUUAAUAUUUAAGCAUAUAAUGAGAUCAACUAAACUUUCAUAUUUGACACGAAUUAGAAUAAGAACACAUAUAUUAUGUUCCUACUGUCACUUUUAAGAUUCAAAAAUAUAUAGAUGUUGGUUUUCAAGAAAAUAAAAAGAAAAAAAACUUUGUUACAUGAAGAUGGAAAGUUAUAGGAGUGACAGUAGGGAAAAAAAAUUACUAAAUGAAAAUUACAGAAGUGACAGUAGGGAAAUAAUAUGUUCUAUUUUAAAGCAUCAAUAUUUAAGAGCGAAGAAAAUUACAGGAGUGAUGUGAGUUUUAAAUUUUUUCCUCUUUCCAAAAAUACUUCUAUCAUUUUCUACUAAUAUUUUUAUGUCCAGAAGUUUUCAACCAAUCAUUUCAAAUAAUUAACUAAAUAAUAAUUUAUUCCCAAAUAAAGAUAAAUAUUUUUCUUCUCACGCGCAAUAUCCGUACAGCCAAUUCUUUCGCAAUGUAUUAUUUCCUUAAAAAAAUCUAAUUUUAUUUUUUCUAAAGUAAAAUAUCUAUAUUUGAAUUUGACACGUAGAUUAUUUUUCCUAAAACAGUAAUAUCCGCACCCGCUAAUUCUUUUGCGUGAAUUUCUUAAAUAUCUCAACAUAAUUAUAGGUGACUUUGAAAUAAAAUCUCCUUCAUCAAUUAUAGGUGAUUUUUAAUAAUAUUGUAAAAGAUAUUAUUUCCUUAAAAAAUUUAAUUUUAUUUUUCCUAAAGUUGAGUGACUUUGAAAUAUUCCCUAAAAUAGAAAAUUUGAGCUUAACACGUAGAUUUUCUAUAUAGUAAAAGAUAUUAAUUUUUUUAAAAAUCUAAUUUUUUUUCUAAAAUAAAAAAUUUAUAUUUGAGCUUGACAC
rnacentral:lncRNA from 1 species